rnacentral:rRNA from 1 species
CACGUAGGGCGCGAGCGUUGUCCGGAAUUAUUGGGCGUAAAGAGCUCGUAGGCGGCCUGUUGCGUCCGCUGUGAAAGCCCGGGGCUUAACCCCGGGUCGGCAGUGGAUACGGGCAGGCUAGAGGUAGGUAGGGGAGAAUGGAAUUCCCGGUGUAGCGGUGAAAUGCGCAGAUAUCGGGAGGAACACCGGUGGCGAAAGCGGCUCUCUGGGACGGUACUGACGCUGAGACGCGAAAGCGUGGGGAGCAAACAGG